rnacentral:rRNA from 1 species
UACGAAGGGGGCUAGCGUUGUCCGGAAUUAUUGGGCGUAAAGCGCGCGCAGGCGGCCUCCUAAGUCCGAUGUGAAAGCCCACGGCUCAACCGUGGAGGGUCAUUGGAAACUGGGGGACUUGAGUACAGAAGAGGAAAGCGGAAUUCCACGUGUAGCGGUGAAAUGCGUAGAGAUGUGGAGGAACACCAGUGGCGAAGGCGCUUUCUGGUCUGUAACUGACGCUGAGGCGCGAAAGCGUGGGGAGCAAACAGG